GUUUGAUCAUGGCUCAGGAUGAACGCUAGCUACAGGCUUAACACAUGCAAGUCGAGGGGCAGCAUGGUCUUAGCUUGCUAAGGCCGAUGGCGACCGGCGCACGGGUGAGUAACACGUAUCCAACCUGCCGUCUACUCUUGGACAGCCUUCUGAAAGGAAGAUUAAUACAAGAUGGCAUCAUGAGUUCACAUGUUCACAUGAUUAAAGGUAUUCCGGUAGACGAUGGGGAUGCGUUCCAUUAGAUAGUAGGCGGGGUAACGGCCCACCUAGUCUUCGAUGGAUAGGGGUUCUGAGAGGAAGGUCCCCCACAUUGGAACUGAGACACGGUCCAAACUCCUACGGGAGGCAGCAGUGAGGAAUAUUGGUCAAUGGGCGAGAGCCUGAACCAGCCAAGUAGCGUGAAGGAUGACUGCCCUAUGGGUUGUAAACUUCUUUUAUAAAGGAAUAAAGUCGGGUAUGCAUACCCGUUUGCAUGUACUUUAUGAAUAAGGAUCGGCUAACUCCGUGCCAGCAGCCGCGGUAAUACGGAGGAUCCGAGCGUUAUCCGGAUUUAUUGGGUUUAAAGGGAGCGUAGAUGGAUGUUUAAGUCAGUUGUGAAAGUUUGCGGCUCAACCGUAAAAUUGCAGUUGAUACUGGA
rnacentral:rRNA from 1 species